AGUUUGAUCCUGGCUCAGAUUGAACGCUGGCGGCAUGCUUUACACAUGCAAGUCGAACGGCAGCACGGGUGCUUGCACCUGGUGGCGAGUGGCGGACGGGUGAGUAAUACAUCGGAACGUGUCCUGAAGUGGGGGAUAACGCAUCGAAAGAUGUGCUAAUACCGCAUAUACUCUGAGGAGUAAAGUAGGGGAUCGAAAGACCUUAUGCUUUUGGAGCGGCCGAUGUCUGAUUAGCUAGUUGGUGGGGUAAUUGCCUACCAAGGCGACGAUCAGUAGUUGGUCUGAGAGGACGGCCAGCCACACUGGGACUGGGACACGGCCCAGACUCCUACGGGAGGCAGCAGUGGGGAAUUUUGGACAAUGGGCGCAAGCCUGAUCCAGCAAUGCCGCGUGAGUGAAGAAGGCCUUCGGGUUGUAAAGCUCUUUCAGUUGAGAAGAAAAGAUUGUAACUAAUAAUUACAGUUCAUGACGGUAUCAACAGAAGAAGCACCGGCUAACUACGUGCCAGCAGCCGCGGUAAUACGUAGGGUGCGAGCGUUAAUCGGAAUUACUGGGCGUAAAGGGUGCGCAGGCGGUUCUGUAAGUCAGAUGUGAAAUCCCCGGGCUUAACCUGGGAACUGCGUUUGAAACUACAGAGCUAGAGUGUGGCAGAGGGGGGUGGAAUUCCAUGUGUAGCAGUGAAAUGCGUAGAGAUAUGGAAGAACAUCGAUGGCGAAGGCAGCCCCCUGGGUUAACACUGACGCUCAUGCACGAAAGCGUGGGGAGCAAACAGGAUUAGAUACCCUGGUAGUC
rnacentral:rRNA from 1 species